AACGAACGCUGGCGGCAUGCUUAACACAUGCAAGUCGAACGAAGGCUUCCGCCUUAGUGGCGCACGGGUGCGUACGGCGGGGGAAUCUGCCCUUUGCUUCGGAAUCACUGUUAGAAAUGUCUGCUAAUACCGGUUGAUGUCGUAAGACCAAAGAUUUAUCGGCAUAGGAUGGGGCCGCGUAGGAUUCGCUGGUUGGUGGGGUACAAGCCUACCAAGGCGACGAUCCUUGGCUGGUCGGAGAGGAUGAUCAGCCAGACUGGGACUGAGACACGGCCCAGACUGCGACGGGGGGCAGCGGAAGGGAAUAUAAGGCGAGGAGCGAGAGCCUGAUACAGCAGUGCCGCGUGUGAGGUCAAGGCGUUAGGGUCGUAAAUCUCCUUGAGCCGAGAUGAUAGUGACGGUACCGGGAGAAGAAGCACCGGCUAACUCCGUG
rnacentral:rRNA from 1 species